GGUUAAGCGACUAAGCGUACACGGUGGAUGCCCUGGCAGUCAGAGGCGAUGAAGGACGUGCUAAUCUGCGAUAAGCGUCGGUGAGGUGAUAUGAACCGUUAUAACCGGCGAUUUCCGAAUGGGGAAACCCAGUGUGUUUCGACACACUAUCAUUAACUGAAUCCAUAGGUUAAUGAGGCGAACCGGGGGAACUGAAACAUCUAAGUACCCCGAGGAAAAGAAAUCAACCGAGAUUCCCCCAGUAGCGGCGAGCGAACGGGGAGGAGCCCAG
rnacentral:rRNA from 1 species